GUGUUUGCUUCAGCACCACAUAUGGUAACUUGGAACGAUACAGAAAAGAUCAGCAUGGCCCCUGCACAAGGAGGGCAUGCAAAUUUGUGAAGCGUUCCAUAUGUGG
ensembl:snRNA U6 U6 spliceosomal RNA